UACGAGGGGUGCAAGCGUUGUCCGGAAUUAUUGGGCGUAAAGAGUUCGUAGGCGGUGAUUCAAGUCUGGUGUUAAAUACCGAAGCUCAACUUCGGCUUGGCAUUGGAAACUGGAUCGCUAGAGUGUGUCAGAGGUAACUGGAAUUCCAGGUGUAGCGGUGAAAUGCGUAGAUAUCUGGAGGAACACCCGUGGCGAAAGCGAGUUACUGGGACAUUACUGACGCUGAGGAACGAAAGCCAGGGGAGCAAAAGGG
rnacentral:rRNA from 1 species